CCUACGGGUGGCAGCAGUGGGGAAUAUUGCACAAUGGGCGCAAGCCUGAUGCAGCCAUGCCGCGUGUGUGAAGAAGGCCUUCGGGUUGUAAAGCACUUUCAGCGGGGAGGAAGGCGGUGAGGUUAAUAACCUCAUCGAUUGACGUUACCCGCAGAAGAAGCACCGGCUAACUCCGUGCCAGCAGCCGCGGUAAUACGGAGGGUGCAAGCGUUAAUCGGAAUUACUGGGCGUAAAGCGCACGCAGGCGGUCUGUCAAGUCGGAUGUGAAAUCCCCGGGCUCAACCUGGGAACUGCAUUCGAAACUGGCAGGCUAGAGUCUUGUAGAGGGGGGUAGAAUUCCAGGUGUAGCGGUGAAAUGCGUAGAGAUCUGGAGGAAUACCGGUGGCGAAGGCGGCCCCCUGGACAAAGACUGACGCUCAGGUGCGAAAGCGUGGGGAGCAAACAGGAUUAUAUACCCCUGUAGUC
rnacentral:rRNA from 1 species